UCUUAUAUUAUUAUUACACUUUUACAACGGCAAACAAAACACGAAGAACAAUACCGUACAAAUUAAAGAAUGAUCGAAAGAAGUUUUGGCUCCUUAAUCUAGGGGAGACCACUCAAUUCACCUCUAUCCCUUGUCCUAAGACGCUUUAAUUGGCGCGAAUAUGCUACUUUUCCUAUCUACUAAAAGAGCUCUCUUAACAGAUCUCUGCCAUUCAUUUAUAGCAGACCAAAACACAAUUUAGAACAAAGUUUGGGGGCUCAUUGGCUCCCUUAAGCCUUUUUUUCUGAUUGGAACAGGUAUUAUUCUCCUCACAAUAUAGUUUUUUUCUUUUAUUCUACGUUACUUCCUAUAUCUAAAUGCCUAACCUAUAUUAUUCAUUUAUAAGCUUUCUUUCAUAAAAUUUCCUGCUAUUUAAUUACUUAAUCUGAUUUUUUUUUUCUUUUUACUAGCCUUCUGGACGGUUGCCAGACAACUAGUUGGACACAGUUGAGGACAAACGGACACACACAAACUGGACUGUCUCCGUAUGGUAGGCGUCUUACACAGCUCCUGGCCAGAUAUCACAAAAGGAAUCACCGUCGGCACAGGCUUCCAUACAAUUUCGGCUUCAACGUGCACUACAAGGUAGAUGUCUCAACCAUUAACACCGUUCCCAGUCCGAUGGCCUGAUGGUAGCUGGGGAAAGUCUCGCACCUUGCUGAUUUUCCGCAACAAAUAUCGCACUGGCCCCCUUUAUAGCUAGGAUGGCCAGUGCUAUUCUCCAAAUCACAGGAAUCACUUUCUAUACAGCAAAAGAAAUGACAAAAUCUCAAAUCUACUACACAUUUUUAGAAACUACAGUUCACUCACAUUCAAAUCUUAUCACACAAUACACAAAAAAAAAUAAAAUUAA